UACAAUGAGCUACACGGAGGAUUGUGUUAGCAGUCCUCUAACCCAGGGAUGCCUCUAGUUCAUGAAACUCCGGAUGAAAGACAAGGGGAUAGUAAAGAGACCUCUAAGCCAGGCCUCCUGCACAGCUUACUACCCUUAAAUCCCCUGGUGGCCAAGUACCCAGGAAGCAACCAGCUACAAAGCGGCUUGCAAGAGCGCGCCCUCUCCUGGAGUAAGGAAGAAACCGCACUGUUAGGGGUCUGGUACUGAGGCCCUCCACAGAUGUGUCCAGAAGUUCAAUGCAAUGGCAAACUUCCCUUGCACAGUCUGGUGUGAGACUUUGCUCAAGAACUUCAAGACAUAUCUGUGCUUCCAGAGUGUGGCUCUUGGUGCUUUGCAGGAGACAAGUGAGCUCUCUUGAAAGAAGUGCCGUACUUAACCAUCCAGUACAUUUUAUAAGAUGACCAUCUUCACCUUUACAAAGAGGCGGCACAAACUAGUCCACACAGGGAAAAGAAACAGGAAGACUAAUGUUUUAGUAGGAGACACACUUCCGGCUUGGGAUCCAGGAACAAAUCAGAUGUUUUUUCCUCACAGGGCAUCAUCAAGAGCCUUGUGUACUUGUCUAAUCAUUCAUAUCUAUAUUGUGUGGUAG